rnacentral:rRNA from 2 species
CUUCGGCGUCCGAGUUGUAAUUUGCAGAGGGUGCCUCGGGUGGAGCACCGGUCCAAGUCCCUUGGAACAGGAUACCGCAGAGGGUGAGAGUCCCGUAUCCGGCCGGUCGUGUCCCCCGCUGUGAGGCCCCUUCGACGAGUCGAGUUGUUUGGGAAUGCAGCUCUAAAUGGGUGGUAAAUUCCAUCUAAAGCUAAAUACUGGCCAGAGACCGAUAGCGCACAAGUAGAGUGAUCGAAAGAUGAAAAGCACUUUGAAAAGAGAGUCAAACAGUACGUGAAAUUGUUGAAAGGGAAGCGUAUACGGCCAGACUUGGCCGCGGAUGCUCAGCCCGUCUUCUGGCGGGUGCACUCUUCCGCGGACAGGCCAGCAUCGGUUUGGGCGGCCGGACAACGGCGCUGGGAAUGUGGCACCCCUCGGGGUGUGUUAUAGCCCGGCGUGCAAUGCGGCCAGCCCGGACCGAGGACCGCGCAUUGCUAGGAUGCUGGCGUAAUGGCCUUAUACGGCCCGUCUUGAAACACGGACCAAGGAGUCUAACAUCUAUGCGAGUGUUUGGGUGUC